GCAAAAAUGAAGGAAAAAAUUGAAGCUGAAGAUUCCCCAAAUCGCGAGUCUGAGAAGAUAGUAUCGGAUGAUGAAGAGAUUGAUUACAGCACGAAGUCCGAAUUUUACGACCCAAAAUUGGAUGAGAAGAACGAAUCAUGGGCUGAAAAACAAAGAGGAGGCCGAACCUCCGACGCUGUGCUGUGCUGAGCUGCCCUGCUUGUUUCACUACCCUCUCUUUGGAUUGCCAGAGGCACGACAAGUAUGUAACCCAAUACCAAGCUGUUUUUGUUGUCAACUGUAGAAUAAAGGAGGAAUUGCCAAAACCAGGAAGCAGACGACGAAAGAGGAACACAAGAAAUUCUCAAGCUGUAACAGAUCAAACCGGUGCAGCUGAGACAAUUAAACGCGUCUGCUGUGCAGUUUGCUCAACAGAUGUGGGUGUUAUUGACGAGGAUGAGAUCUAUCAUUUCUUGAAUGUUAGAGCAUCCACAACCGUGCUCUUGCCAGCGGCACGGUUGUGGGCCCUGGCGGUACUAUUCAUGCCUGCUCUCUGGCAAGAGCACAACACCCACAACUGUGCUCUUCCGCAAGGACA